rnacentral:rRNA from 1 species
UACGUAGGCAGCGAGCGUUGUUCGGAAUUACUGGGCGUAAAGCGUGCGCAGGCGGUUUUGUAAGUCUGUUGUGAAAUCCCCGGGCUCAACCUGGGAAUGGCAAUGGAGACUGCAAGGCUAGAGUUUGGCAGAGGGGGGUAGAAUUCCACGUGUAGCAGUGAAAUGCGUAGAUAUGUGGAGGAACACCGAUGGCGAAGGCAGCCCCCUGGGUAAAAACUGACGCUCAUGCACGAAAGCGUGGGGAGCAAACAGG